UACGUAUGGAGCAAGCGUUAUCCGGAUUUACUGGGUGUAAAGGGAGCGCAGGCGGCUUUGCAAGUCUGAUGUGAAAGGCCGGGGCUCAACCCCGGGACUGCAUUGGAAACUGUAAAGCUAGAGUGCCGGAGAGGUAAGCGGAAUUCCUAGUGUAGCGGUGAAAUGCGUAGAUAUUAGGAGGAACACCAGUGGCGAAGGCGGCUUACUGGACGGCAACUGACGCCGAGGCUCGAAAGCGUGGGGAGCAAACAGG
rnacentral:rRNA from 1 species